rnacentral:rRNA from 1 species
UAGGACAAACAUAAACCUUUUGUAAUUGCAAUCAGCGUCAGUAACAAAUUAAUAACCCCCACUUUCAACAACGGAUCUCUUGGUUCUGGCAUCGAUGAAGAACGCAGCGAAAUGCGAUAAGUAGUGUGAAUUGCAGAAUUCAGUGAAUCAUCGAAUCUUUGAACGCACAUUGCGCCCUUUGGUAUUCCAAAGGGCAUGCCUGUUCGAGCGUCAUUUGUACCCUCAAGCUUUGCUUGGUGUUGGGCGUCUUGUCUCUAGCUUUGCUGGAGACUCGCCUUAAAGUAAUUGGCAGCCGGCCUACUGGUUUCGGAGCGCAGCACAAGUCGCACUCUCUAUCAGCAAAGGUCUAGCAUCCAUUAAGCCUUUUUUUCAACUUUUGACCUCGGAUCAGGUAGGGAUACCCGCUGAACUUAAGCAUAUCAAUAAGCGGAGGAA